rnacentral:pre_miRNA from 1 species
AUGGAUCUUUGUAUGUCUCAUGUACAAGAGAUUCAUGAGAUUAUGAAGAUUCAUUA